GAACGCUAGCGACAGGCUUAACACAUGCAAGUCGAGGGGCAGCACAGGUAGCAAUACCGGGUGGCGACCGGCGCACGGGUGAGUAACGCGUAUGCAACUUGCCUAUCAGAGGGGGAUAACCCGGCGAAAGUCGGACUAAUACCGCAUGAAGCAGGGGCCCCGCAUGGGGAUAUUUGCUAAAGAUUCAUCGCUGAUAGAUAGGCAUGCGUUCCAUUAGGCAGUUGGCGGGGUAACGGCCCACCAAACCGACGAUGGAUAGGGGUUCUGAGAGGAAGGUCCCCCACAUUGGUACUGAGACACGGACCAAACUCCUACGGGAGGCAGCAGUGAGGAAUAUUGGUCAAUGGCCGAGAGGCUGAACCAGCCAAGUCGCGUGAGGGAUGAAGGUUCUAUGGAUCGUAAACCUCUUUUAUAAGGGAAUAAAGUGCGGGACGUGUCCCGUUUUGUAUGUACCUUAUGAAUAAGGAUCGGCUAACUCCGUGCCAGCAGCCGCGGUAAUACGGAGGAUCCGAGCGUUAUCCGGAUUUAUUGGGUUUAAAGGGUGCGUAGGCGGCCUUUUAAGUCAGCGGUGAAAGUCUGUGGCUCAACCAUAGAAUUGCCGUUGAAACUGGGGGGCUUGAGUAUGUUUGAGGCAGGCGGAAUGCGUGGUGUAGCGGUGAAAUGCAUAGAUAUCACGCAGAACCCCGAUUGCGAAGGCAGCCUGCCAAGCCAUUACUGACGCUGAUGCACGAAAGCGUGGGGAUCAAACAGGAUUAGAUACCCUGGUAGUCCACGCAGUAAACGAUGAUCACUAGCUGUUUGCGAUACACUGUAAGCGGCACAGCGAAAGCGUUAAGUGAUCCACCUGGGGAGUACGCCGGCAACGGUGAAACUCAAAGGAAUUGACGGGGGCCCGCACAAGCGGAGGAACAUGUGGUUUAAUUCGAUGAUACGCGAGGAACCUUACCCGGGUUUGAACGCAUUCGGACCGAGGUGGAAACACCUUUUCUAGCAAUAGCCGUUUGCGAGGUGCUGCAUGGUUGUCGUCAGCUCGUGCCGUGAGGUGUCGGCUUAAGUGCCAUAACGAGCGCAACCCUUGCCACUAGUUACUAACAGGUAAAGCUGAGGACUCUGGUGGGACUGCCAGCGUAAGCUGCGAGGAAGGCGGGGAUGACGUCAAAUCAGCACGGCCCUUACAUCCGGGGCGACACACGUGUUACAAUGGCGUGGACAAAGGGAAGCCACCUGGCGACAGGGAGCGAAUCCCCAAACCACGUCUCAGUUCGGAUCGGAGUCUGCAACCCGACUCCGUGAAGCUGGAUUCGCUAGUAAUCGCGCAUCAGCCAUGGCGCGGUGAAUACGUUCCCGGGCCUUGUACACACCGCCCGUCAAGCCAUGGGAGCCGGGGGUACCUGAAGUCCGUAACCGCGAGGAUCGGCCUAGGGUAAAACUGGUGACUGGGGCUAAGU
rnacentral:rRNA from 1 species